CCCAACCUGACUGCUGUGUUCUGCCCUGAGUCUGCAGAGGCUGACCCUGGCCAGGAAAGUGGUUGGAAAAGCAUUUUUGCAGAGAGGCAGCCUGAAGGUGGUGGCUCUAUGUAAGUGUGCACCCUUGGUUGGAAAGGCUGAAGGUCAGGAAUGGUAUUAGGAGAAAGUUCCCCCUUUCUCCUUUGUCCCUCCUUCCUGCCCCUGGACACAGGCUUGAGGAUCUGCAUCUGGCUGGCUCACCCUUCCUGCACAACUUUUCUAUUCAAGUUUUUCAGGGCAGGGCUUUAAGAAACACUUCAGGUUAAUUAUAGCCAGGGGUCAUUUUCUAUACAAGCGGGACAAACUUGAUGUGACUACAGGGCUGUCUCCAGGGCUGAUUCAUUCGACCUAGAAAACUGCCCCUAGGGAAACAGCCUCAGAAUCUUGCCUGCAGCUCUGGAAGUGGUAAUGGGCCCACCUGUCUCCCUGCCCAUCAUCUCACAUCUGGGGGAAUGUCUUGGCUAGCAGCAUGGCCCUGAGUGAGGGGUUUAGGUAAACAAGGUGUGACUGGGAUUGGAAGAGUCACAAACCUGUUUGUUAGAGCAAUGCUGAAGAGUUUCAGGAAAAGAAUUUCAUCAAGGCUGGCACAUCUGUCCUCAGACACUUGAAGGAUUCCCUGGAGGAAGGAGGACUGAACUUGCCCUACAAGAUCCUGCGGGGCAAAGAACUGUAAGCAGAGACAAAAUGAAAGCCCUCUAGGCCCACAAUUGAUUCUAACGGCUGUGAGGGAAUGAGCUUCAACUACUGUUGAUGGGAGGGACUGUGUGCCAGGCACUGUGCUAGGGACUCUCAUGCAUGAUCUCAUUCAUCUUCUGCAUAACCCAAUGAGGUAUGAUCUACUAUCAAGUGUCUACAUUUGUAUUGGAUUGGUAUGUGUGCCCAACAAAGAAAGUGUCAUUUUUCCUUGGGAAUGAAAUCACAUCAUUUGUGAAGACUUAGUAGAGGCUAAAUGAGUACAAGCAGCAUUUACCUUAUUAAACAGAUAUUUUCAACAUUUAAAACAGUCUGACCAUCAAUGAUGAUGUUCAAAAACAUCUCAAGAUGUUUUAGAGCUAAAGCAAAUGAGAAAAUAUAGUAAAGGGCUGAUUCCUGUGGAUAUUCUGCAAAGGAAAGUAACAUGGUGGAGUGGAAGUGGGAUAAGGUUUGAAGCCAAAAGACCUGGUGGGCUUAAGGUCUCCAUUUAUUGGUUGUGUGACCUUGGAUAAGCCACUUCACCUCCUGGUGAGACUUGGGCAAAAUGGAGAUCAUAUUAAUCACCUCACAGUUUGUUACGCAUUGAGUAAAUGCACAUGUAAGCAUUAUUGACUGUAAAUGAUUAUGCAUAUUUUAAUUAUGGUAUAUCCAAGCCUGAUUUUUCAUCCAGUGCUUACAGUGCCCUGGGCAUAAUACUCAUUCAAUAAACAUUUGUUUGAUGAUAGAGUAAUAAAUGAAUAUGUGAUGCAGAAGUUUUAAAAAUAUUUUUGCUGCUGUCUGACUCAUUUAUAGACAUUUAUAAAAUUGAGGAUUUGUAAGUUGUCCCUGGACAAUCAGAUCUCUUGAUUCAAAGGUGAAAGAUAAUCAUUCAGGUUUUCAAGUUUUUCCUGAUAUGAGACAUUAACUGGCAGGGCUGAUUAUGAGAAAUUGUCAUUAUCCUGCUCAAAUAUAAGAUCAUAGAUUUGGGAAACCUUAGAAAUAAUUACCUUCUUUUCAAAUAUGAGGAAACUGAAGCCCAGAGGCUCUAAGAAAUCAGGGACUUUAUAUAAUUUUUUCAUUUCUCUAGCUCUAGGGUAAUUGUAGAUAGAUAUACAACAAGUAUGUUUUUAAAAGUAUAUUUUUCAAGAAUUAUGCUAAGCACUGGGGAAAUAAACAUUAACAAGACAAAACCCUCCCCUUUGAGGAACUGAUAAUCUAGACAGACAUGAAAACCAGGAAGUGUGCUAUCAGUUAUAUUAAUGUUGUACAGAGUUCUAGUGGCAAGAGGGAACUGCCAAGGGAAAUCUGAGAGGAGGUGUUUACCCUGCGUAAACACCUUGCUGUUUAGCUUGGCAUCCCUAGAAGCAGACCCUGAGGACAGUGGGAAAAUGGAUUAUUAAGGAAGUGCUCCUGAGAGAAACCAGAAAGGGGGUGUAGGGAGCAAGGGAGGAUAAGGAGAAGACUCCAGUAAGGAUGAGAUUACUCAAGUCCCAUGGAAGACAGGUUAGCCUGAUCCUGCAGGGGAGCCCUGGAGGCACAUGCCUGAAAGGCAGUCUUGGAGCAGCUGCCUCAUGUUGGAGGAAAAACACUGAAGUGGGAUGAGAAGAUGUGAGUUCCGGUCCCAGAUCUGAUUUGUUUGGCACAUAAGUUUGGUUUCAGAUAACUAUAUAAAAGUCAAUCAUCAAUAAUUUGUUAAACACCAAUUUGUGCCGGAGUCGCUCUGGAAACUUGCCAGAAACAUGGGGACUUAACAUCUCUGGAAAGCCAGAAAUCAGAGAUACAGAGAAGUAUUGAAAUGCUGAAAUGCUAUGAAUUUACUAUAAGAGAACAUUCUUCACUGAAGAGAUCUCUAGCUGCCAAAACACCCUUUCAUGCGUGAAAUACCGGGGCAAAGAGGAAGGAAAAGAGAAGAGUAUGACUCUAGGAACCAUGUUGCAGAAAUGCCAAAGGGUGGGACAAACAAGUAUGGGCUGUAAUGACUUUGGAAGAUCCAAAUAGCUAUCAUCUUGGCUGGAGAGAGGGUGACUUCCAAGCAAGGGCCUGUGCUCUGGCCUCACUCUCUGCGGCUCUGCAACAUGAGCCUCAGCAUCCCCUGUGCUACUCACUAGAAAGUGGACCUGACAGCUUUGGCAGAGUUACUAAUGUGGAGAAAGAAGAUUAUCAUGUGUGGAACGAAGGACAAUAUGAACAUUAAAUAAUGCCCUGACUCAUUCCAAAAAGAAUCUGAGAUGACCAAUAAAGCCAUUUUUAAUUGUUUAUUAGUGAACAAUAGAUUAUGAGUGCUAAAGGGAUUCAGGAAGAAGAAAGAUCAGUGCAGAGUAGAGAAGUCUGAUGGAUGCAUUGAAGAAGCUAUGCUUGAGCUGAAAUGACAAGAGAGCUGUUUUUCGCUUUCAGAAUUAUUAUGUGGCAAUGGUAAUUGACAACAGAGAAGCUGAAGGGAGGAAGUCACUUUAUGGGAGCAGAGUCACUCUCAAGUAAUAGCUGGCCAUACAGAUUGCUCUGGACCAAGGGUGAAUGUGAAGAAGAAAAGACCGGCCAGCAACACAAUGGAAUAUCUAGAGUCAUAUUGAGGGAAAUACUUAGAUUGCUGAUUUCUUAGUGGAUUUCACAAGCAGAGCUGCUUGUGAGCAGAAUGGUGAAGUAGGGGCAUGUGUUUCUGGGGUCUUAUUCCAUGGCUUCCUUCCACCUACAAGAGUCAUCCUCACGGAGUACUUGCAUUUCAGUAGAAGAAAAAAAUCUUAUAGAUGGAAGGGAAGGAUGGGGUUCCUGCUUUAGGAAGAUUGGCAUGGUCAUAAGUCUGAGCAAGGAAGGGCCCAGGGCAGCUCAGAGCUCUGAGCAGGAAGCUCUAAUUAGUUACUGAAUAUGGUGCAAGCACAAAGAGAGCGUAGUGUUUUCCCUUUCCAUCUGUGGAAGUCUUGGCCAUGCUUACUUGGGCGUUCCUUCCAGGAAACAUUUAUUUUUCCUCUUUAAUGCCCUCCUCAUAUCUAUGCUCUCAGUAGAGGAUGCCACUGCUUCUGGCACCUGGAUAAUAGAAUGAAGCUGAUUGGGAUGGAAACAGAAAAGUCAUCUCUCAGAACAAUGAGCAGAGACUGAAACUCCCUUGUACCCAGUCCCUGUGCACUGCUGUUCAUAGCCAAAUGGGCAAGGCCUUGCCAAAUGUCAUGUUGAGGUGAGGCCCUAAGUGAUAGAAAAAUAAAAAAUGACUAUGGCCACUUGCAUGUUCAGAGAAUUCAGUUUAGAAAAUGCUAUGCUGGGAGGAUCUCUCUUAAUAUCUUGUUUGCAUCAGAAUGUUCAAGUUGCAAUAUAUGUUUUUGUUUUGUGUAUUUAUUUAUUUUCCUCUACUCUAUUCUGUUAAGUCUUUUAGGGCAAAGGUAGGGUAGUCUAUACUCCCUGCGUUAUCCAUAAUGCCUAGCACUGUGUCUUGUACAUAAAAGGUCAUAAUAAAUACCUGUUGGCUAGAUAGAUGAAUGGAUAGAGUGCCUCAUUUAGAAGCAUUAUACUUCUAUGGAAAAAAAUUUUUAAAUGUAUUUUUUUCUAUGAGAUAACACAGUUCCUGAAUAGGUCAUGGGCAGGUGCUAUUCAAGUUUGCGAAGGAAAGGUUUUCCUAGAGUUAGGGUAAUUUUUUCCUCAAAUAAGAAAAACCUACAGUAAAUAAUUACUCUCCAUAUUAUCUUUAGGUUUCUUGCCAGUAUUAACAUCUUUUUUAUUGUAAGUGAUGAUAUUGUCUGUGAGAACAUUACAGUAGGUUAGUAUCCUGGGUUAAGCUAAGUGUUGUUGAAAAUAAUCCUGGACAUCCAAACAGGAAGAGAGGAAGUCAAACUAUUCCUGUUUGCAAAUAACAUGAUUCUAUAUCUAGAAAACCCUGUAAUGUCAGCCCCAAGGCUCUGUGAGAUCAGAGAUAAAUAACCUCAGCAAAGUCAACAUACAAACAUCAGUAGCAUUCCUUAUACAAACAACAUCCAAGCUGAUGGCCAAAUCAGGAUGCAAUCCCAUUCACAAUUGCCCCCCCAAAAAUAUAAAAUACUUAGGAAUACAGCUAACCAGGGAUGUGAAAGAUCUCUAUAAUAAGAAUUACAAAACACUGCUCAAAAAAUCAUAGAUGACACCAAAAAUUGGAAAAAUAAUCCAUGCUCAUGGAUUGGAUGAAUCAAUAUCAUUAAAAUGGCCAUACUGCCCAAAGCAAUUUACAGAUUUCACAGAUUCAGUGCUAUUCCUAUCAAAAUAUCAAUGACAUUUUUCGUGGAAUUAGAAAAAACUAUUUUAAAAUUGACAUGGAACCCAAAAGGGACCCCGAAUAGUCGAGGCAAUCCUAAACAAAAAGAACAAAGCUGGAGGUAUUAUAUUACCCAAUGUCAACAUAUACUACAGGGCUAUAGUAACCAAAAGAGCAUGGUACUGGUACAAAAACAGACACAUAGACCAAUAGAACGUAAUAAAGAGCCCAGAAAUAAUGUCACACCACUUACAACCAUCUGAUCUUCAAUAAAGCUGACAAAAACAAACAAUAGGGAAAAGAUUCCUCAUUCAAUAAAUGGUGCUGGGAUAACUGGCUAGUCAUAUGCAGAAGAUUGAAACUGGACACCCCACCUUACACUACAUACAAAAAUCAGUGUAAGAUGAAUUAAAGGCUUAAAUGUAAAACCUAAAACUAUAAAAACCCUGAAAGAUAACCUAGGAAAUACCAUUCUGGACAUAGAACUUGGCAAAGAUUUCAUGAUGAAGACAACAAAAGCAAUUGCAACAAAAACAAAAAUUGACAAAUGGGAUCUAAUUAAACUGAAGAGCUUCUGAACAAAAAAAGAAACUAUCAACAGAGUAAACAGACAACCUACAGAAUGGGAGAAGAUAUCUGCAAACUAUGCAUCCAACAAAGGUCUAAUAUCCAGAUGCUGUAAGGAACUUAAAUUUAUAAGCAUAAACAAACAACCCCAUUAAAAAGUGGGCAAAGGACAUGAAGAGAUACUUUUCAAAAGAAGACAUAUAUGUGGCCAACAAGCAUAUAAAAAAUGCUCAACAUCACUAAUCAUUAGAGAAAUGCAAAUUAAAACCACAGUGAAAUACCAUCCCACACCAGUCAGAAUGGCUAUUAUUAAAAGUUGAAAAAUAAUAGGUGCUAGCAAUGUUGUGGAGAAAAGGGAACACUUAUACACCACUGAUGGGAAUGUAAAUUAGUUCAGCCACUGUAGAAAGCAGUUGGGUGAUUCCUCAAAGAACUUAAAAAAACAGAGUUACCAUCCAACCUAGCAACCCCAUUAUUGGGUAUAAUCCAAAGGAAUAUAAAUUGUUCUAUCAUAAAGACACAUGCACAUGUAUAUUCAUUGCAGCACUAUUCGCAAUAAGAAAGAUAUGGCAUCACCCUAAAUGCCCAUCAGUGGUAGACUGGAUAAAGAAAAUGUGGUGCAUAUACACCAUGGAAUACUAUGCAGCCAUAAAAAACAAUGAGAUCAUGUCCUGUGAAGCAACAUGGAUGGAUCUGGAAGCCAUUAUCCUAAGCAAACUAACACAAGAACAGAAAACCAAAUAUGGCAUGUUCUUACAAGUGGAAGCUAAACAAUAGGAACACAUGGAUAUUAGAAGGGUAACAGAAGAUAUUGGGGCCUACUUGAGGGUGGAAAGUGGGAGGAAGGAGAGGAUCGGAAAAAUACCUAUUGGGUACUAUGUUUAUUACCUGGAUGAUAAAAUUAUCUGUCACCAAACCCCUGUGACAUGCAGUUUACCUAUAUAACAAACCUGCACAUGUACCCCUGAGCCUAAAAUAAAAGUUUAAAAAAAAAAAAGAAAAUACACCUGGACCCUAUUUUGAAAGACAUACUGUAGACUUGAGGGAGGAAGAGCAGAGGGAUGGAAAGGGCCCCGAAUUACCCACAAGCCAUGUGAAUGCUUAAGCAGUCAUGGACCACAAUUCUCACCACACACACACACACACACACACACACACACACACACACACACACACAGGUCUGAACCCUUACCCCUGUCUACUACUUAUUGGAGCUUGGUAGAAAAAAAGUUGUGAGUGACAGAAAAGUGAGAAAAAGAGAAGAAGAAGAAAAAUUGGAAAGUGUGGAAGAAAAAGUGGCAAAUGCAAGCAGCCCUUAAUGGAACUGUGCUGAAUUGAGAGACAGCAGAAGGUAACAGCUGGCUGGGACUUGGCCAUGAAAGGUGGAAUGUGAGGAGACAAAUGAAAUGGAAAUGCAGGAAAGAAUGGAGUGGCAAAGGAGGCUGGAGAUGGGGCAGAGGAUAGCAAGGGGAGAGAAGGAAGCACAGAAAGGGUGUGGGGGACAGGCCAGAGAGUAGAAGGCUAGAUGGAACUGACUGAUGCCACCAGUCAGAGAUGGAGACCAUUAACAAUGUGUAGGGAAACCCCUGCCUUCCCAAUAAUGAAAAUGCAGGUUUAAUCAGUACCAAGGAACACUGUGAAGUAAGGGCAUUGACUUGGGAAGUGAAAGCCGAAGAUAGAGCAAACCCCAUACGGCAUAUCCUAACUCGCCAUUUUAACAGCAGAAAGACUCGAAAAUACAAAGCAAAGGAUUAUCCAAAGGGCUUUUUAAAAUAAUGCUUAAAAUUUUAAUCUUGUAAAUAUAUUUCCCUUCCCAGUAUGAAAAUAAUUCCGAGUAUAAUCUUUAUUUACUUUCCCCUUUUUAUUUUAGAAGAGUAAACAUAGCUUUAAGAAUUAAAAAAAUCAGUUAAUAAUCUGACUUUUAAGUCAGCUGUAAAAAUGUAAGUUUCUAGCUCUGCCACUUUUUAGUAGUGUGACUUUGGGCAAAUUGCUCAAAAACUCCAAAUUCUUGUUUCUUUACCUACAAAAAAGGGACAAUAAUACAUACCUCCUAUGAUAGUAGAAAAUUACGUGAAAAUAUACUCCAAGUAUCUCAGAGGGCUUGAUUUCCAGAAAGCGCCCAAGCUCAAUCAAUAGUGACGUUUACUAUCCACGCAGCCAGUUCUACUACUGGGAGUUGGUUGGUGCUGAUAAAGCUUUUUGUCAGACUUCUCACAAUUUCCAUUGUGAGAAGAUGUAGCUUCCAAUUAACUCUGUCACUGAUUGUUGGGUAACUUUGGGCCAAAUGCUGUUCCUUAAUGAAUGUGGGUGUGAAACUUAUUAAGAUUAAUGACUGUCACAGCUGUUAGCCAGAUGUUUACAUAAUUCCCUCUGUUUUACAGCAAUCAUAUCAGAGGAAAGGGGUUGAAUGAUAGAAUUAGAAAAAUAAGUACAAUAUUGUGGGAAUGAAUAAAUGUUGUUUUGGAGGGUAGGAGAUUAAAAUCCUAAAUGUAUUUUGAUUAGGCUAAUAUUAAAAAUUAGCAUCUGUAAAUCAGUAAUCUAAUUGAAGGAAUUUUUUAACACAAGUGACUGGUGGAGGGGACACAGCAUGGGAGGGCAUGCUUACAGCAAGAGCUCCAUUGAUUAAAUAGUCCCCUGCAGAACACAGAGAGUUAAAUACGUCUUUAAUAGCCUCCAGCAUGAAAGGGCAAAUCAUUUGUUUUAAUUGAGGAAGGAUAAAAUAUUUUUGCUUUACACAUAUAUGUUCUAUUUUAGCAUCAUAGUUAUUUUUAUAGCUGUUAUAACUUCACAAAACCUAAUAGGAAAAUAAAUCUGAAUCCAGAAGAGUUCAAUACUUUCCAGAGGAGUCUAGUAAAUAAAAACUCUACACUGACUGACUGAUCUUAUUCAUGCACUGCUCCUAAACCCAAACUCUCAAGUGAAGGGAAAAGAGGUUAAUUCGUUGGAAUAAAUUCAUGGGAUUUUUUUUUAAAGACACAUCCUGAAUCAAAGUGAUUAAAACAACAAAUGGAUAAAGGGUAGAGCUGUGAGAGGACAAGGUUUGCAUUACUGAGCAUCUUGAUUAUGUGGGGAAGAUGGGAAACAGAUCUUGCCCAUUCUGGUCUCAAACUACUAAAUCCUGAGAAUGCCAAGAGGCGAGUCACUGAAGUCAGAAGUUGGAAACAUGGCUAAGCUGUCCAGAGUGUGGAACACAUGGUCUCUGAAGGUUUUUAUUAGUGUGUGGGUGAGAGUUCAGAAGCUCUACUAAUUACUUUUGUUUUCAGAAUUUAUAAAGUUAAGACAGAAAGCGGAAUAUUAACACUUCACUUCCUCGUGCAGUCAUUAAUUUACUCACUUAGCAUACAUUUAUUCAUAGAAGCUUAUUGGUACCAAGUAUACCCUCAAUGAGCAACCAACCCAAAAUUGCAAAAGGGAGAUCAAACAGGGAAGCUGUGGUAGGAAGUAUCAUGGCCUCUUCAAAGAUGUCUAUAUACUAAUCACAGAAUUUAUGUAUAUGUGAUGCUGUAUGUCAAGGGAAGAUUAAGGUGUGCAGAUGGAAUUAAGGUUGCUAAUCAGCUGACCUUAAAAUAGGAGUACUAUCUUGGAAUAUCUGGGUGGGCUCAAUGUAAUCACAAAUGUUCUUAACAGAUAGAAGAAGAAGGCAGAGGAGUCAGUGUUGGAGUGAUGCCAUGUGAGAAAGACUCAACUGGCCAUUGCUGGCUUUGAAAAUGGAAGGAGGCAUAAGCCAAGGAAUGAAUGCAGGUGCCUCUAGAACCUGGAAAAAGCAAGGAAACAAAUUCUCCUCUAGAACCUCCAGAAGGAAUGCAUUCCUGCCAACACCUUGAUUUUUAGCUCGGUGAGACCCAUGCUGGACUUCUGACCUGCAGGAUUGCAAGAUAAGAUAUUUGACUUAUUUUAAGAUGCUAAGUUUGCAGUAAUUUGAUAUGGUAGCCAUCGGAAACUAAUACCGAUGCCAAAGCAGUAAAGCAGGAAAGCACUCCAAAAUCACAGGAGUGAGAGGAGCAGAAAUGUCCUAGGAGAAGACAAUGUUUCCUUUUGAAAAGGAAAGUUUACUGGCAACUUCCAUUUGAAUUUCUUAAUUUCUUUCCUCAGUGGCAGUCACUACUUCCAAGGUGGCAGGUUCCAGAGCUGAUUCAUUAUAUAAUCUUUUCUCAGGAGUAUUCUAGCCACCUUUAAAGAAGCUAGGGCCAUUUUCCUGACACUGCAUCAAGGGGUAAGGUUAGUGGUAAAGAAACCAUGCGGUAGGAAAGGCCAACUUUCUCCCUACAUAAUCCAAUCGCAUUAUCUCCAGACUUGCUCACCCUCUGCUCUUUGCAUACUGCAGCUCCAGAGCUUUCAUACCUACAGACUUCCUGGAGUUAAGACUAAAACAAGAGUUGUGCUACAGACUACCGUUCCUAUUAUCAUUUUUUGUGUCCUGCUGAGUCCUCCCCUCUUGGCAACUUCAGGACCACCCACUGGGAAGAUAAUAUACAACCCAUCAGGAAACUCCCAGUGCCCAUCGUGGAGGCCAAGUGCUGCCAACUCUGAUUGCUUCUGGAAUGCCAUUUCUUCCCUGCCCUUUCAAUAUUCUUGUUAUGCGACUCCUAUGAUCACUGCCAAUCUGUAGAAAAUUACAGGAUGAAUUUUUGUGAAGGACUGAAUUUGCAUACUGGUCUUUUGUUGUUUAUUGUUGGGGGGAUUUUGCUUUUUGCACACAAUUUCUGCACAUUUUAUUGGAAGUUAUUGGGUUAGAUUCAUCCCAUUCAUUCACUAGCCUGGCAUUGCUAUGCAUGUGCUGUAGGGGCUUAGCAUUAAACGAUUUUCUUUGUUCAGAUUUGGAUUGCUGUCUCUGCUUGCAAAUUAUUUUUCACAAUGACUCCUUCUUUUCCUUCUCUCUCUCUCUCUUUCUCUCUCUCUCUCUCUCACACACACACACAGACACACACACACACACACACACACACACACACACACACACACAGAUGAGGUUAGAUAUUUUUCCAUUGCCAAGUUCAGGACCCAUGAAUAC
rnacentral:lncRNA from 1 species